rnacentral:rRNA from 1 species
UACGAAGGGGGCUAGCGUUGUUCGGAAUCACUGGGCGUAAAGCGCACGCAGGCGGCUCGUUAAGUCAGGGGUGAAAUGCCGAGGCUCAACCUCGGAACUGCCUUUGAUACUGGCGAUCUUAGAGUCCGGGAGAGGUGAGUGGAACUCCGAGUGUAGAGGUGAAAUUCGUAGAUAUGGGGAGGAACACCGGUGGCGAAGGCGGCCACCUGGACGGAUACUGACGCUGAGACGCGAAAGCGUGGGGAGCAAACAGG